UAUAUAUAUAUAUAUAUAAAGUUCCUCUGUCUUCUCCAGUGCUACUCAGAACCAAGAGGCUGGUUUGAGUGCUGUCAAUCACAAUUUACUGUUGUGCUGUUCAUUCCCCCUCGCAAUACCCCUCCUUGCUUUAUGCUAAGCUGUAGCUAGCAAAGCCCUUCAUAAAAGGGGCACAGACCAACAGACGGUGGCUGUUAUCACUAUAAUGGCCACUGAUGAUGGCAGACAAACGGUUUUCCUGUAACAGUGAGUUGUUUCUGUGCCAUUAGCUCAGCUAGUACAUGAGCUUGAUGACAGUGCUAAGACACUCCUUUUGGCUCUCAUUGGCUGUGCAUUUCUUGAAACCUAAAUAGCAGCACAGGGACGAGAUAGAGAAUAUUGAUCUUUUCACAGAUCAUCUGUCUCAUAAGAUUGCUGUCACAACAUGGUGAGGUUGCCUUUUGCCAGCCACAUAGAAAUGACAUCAAUGCCAUGACUGAAUGUGUGACUGACUACAUAAACUUCUGUGUGGACAGCACAAUCCCCACCAGAACAGCGAGAUGCUUCCAGAAUAACAAACCCUGGGCCACCAGUGAACUAAUGGAACUGUUAAGCAAGAAAAAAGAGCCUUUAGGGAAUGAGACAGGGAGUUAUUGAGGAGAAUACAGAAGCAAGUCAAAGACAAAAUUACAGACAGAAAGGAUAAGUACAAGAAGAAGCUGGAGAAUAAACUGUAGAGGAACAAUAUCUUCAUCCAAAUCGGGAAAUGCUGUUCAUCCCUCUCAGAAGUCAGGUGAAGAGGCACCGGAACAAGGCAACAGGUCCAGACGGUGUCAGCCCCAAAGUCCUGAAGGCCUCAAGCUCCAAAGCAGCUCUGUGAGAUUCUCCAACAUCUCUUCAACCUUAGCCUGACCCCAGAGAGGGUUCCAUUGUUGUGGAAAACAACCUGCUUGGUUUCCGUACCGAAGAAAACUCACCCAUCAGUCAUCAGUGACUAUAGACCUGUUGCCCUGACAUCUCACCUCAUAAAGGUUGUGGGGACACUCCUCACCUGAUUAAGCAGAUAAGCACAUAUUAGGACUGGUGUGAAGUUGGAGUUGAAGACGCCAUCAUACACCUGCUUCAACAAACCUACUGUGAUCUGGACAAAGUAGGCAGCAAUGUGAGGAUCAAGUUCUUUGAUUUCUCCAGUGCAUUUAGCACAAUUCAGCUUGAUUUGCUUUGUCAGAAACUCCAGAAGACACAGGUGAAGGCCUCAAUCACCUGAAUUUAUGGCCUCUUUUCCACUGGCUCUACUGCAGCAGCCCUGCUCUACUUGGCCUGGCUUGGCUCGGCUCUACUACGAAGUAACCACGUUUCCACAGACCUGGCUCGGUUUGUAGAGGAGCAACGCCUCCUGGCGGUGGGGGGUAUAGAGCCCCACCUCCAGGCAAAAUGUGCUGUGCUUCAUUACUGUGCGACCAAACGGAAGUUGUUAUUUUUCCUAGACAAAAGAAGAAAGAGCUGAGCUAUUUUUUACAGCCUGAUUGUGAUUUUUUUGAGAUUUCAAGAAAAGGCACAGUGUGAGGAAUGCUGUGAAUAUGAAGGACAGCUGAUUUCCACCUUGCAGCUGGAAGAAAUCAGGUGGCCCAGAAGUUGCAAGAAAGGAUAUCGCCACUUUCUGUAUUAUGUAACCCGCAAUUAGUAAAGGACUUUUAUUUUUGCGGGCCCACUUCCCGUGUUGCCCAAACUCUGCUAACUUAUUUAAAGCAGAGUUUGGGCCUCCAGUGCACAGUAAAAGAUCCUCACCUGUUCCACUGUGAUUGUGGCUUGCUGUUGGCGUCUUCCUCAAGAAUUCCUCCAAAAAUCUUUCAACCUAUUGAUUUGAUUGCUGGAAUCACUGGCAUUGUUUACCUGGACUGUCACCGGGAUUCUGUUAGUGCUGAUUGUGGCUAAGUACGUCCCACUCUCUUCAAAAAGGUCGGGUUUUUUUUUUCCCCUGUCGGAUCAGAUCCUCAUCUGGAUCGAAAGAUGGCGAGCUAAGAAUGGACUAUGGACUUUAUGAUUUGGAAAUCAAUUUAUUGAGUCAAUUCUCAUGUGUCUCAUUGUGUUGUUGUAAUUGUAUGGUUUUUUUAAAUUCAAAUCACUUAAUAUAUAUUCACCAAAACUAAAAGCACUGCCUCCUGUUUUUUUCACACCUCAGGCUCCUUAAAAGGCCACUCUUCUGAUGCUGCUUAUGUAGCCGCAGUUAGCUGCCUAGCCCAUAACUGUUACCAUUACAACUACUUUAAAACUUGUAGUGUCGAAUAUACAUGCGCUAUUUUUAGCUAGGGUGUUGCGAAUAACUUUAGUAUCGAAAUUGUCAUAUGUUGGCACGGUACAUUCAUAAUAUAUUCCAGUGGGCUUUCAGAUGUUGGUAAACUGUCACUGUCAUCUGACACCAUAAGCGUGAUUAUUCGUGCAGUCCUCUGUGUUGUAAGAUGUCUCAUCUUAUCAUGUCCAUCUUCCUGACUGCCAGUCAGUAUUUACCUUCAAGAUGUCCAGAGACCUCCACCUUUCUGAAGCAGGGAUCACAUGUGUCCAUGUGUCCAAUGAGUUAAUAAAACAUUUGCCAUUAAGAAAAUUUAGCUGAUGUUCUUACAGAGUUGAACUGCAUAAA